CUCAGCUCCAUGUGCUUCCCCUGCCCCUGCCCCUCCCCAAGUGGGCAGCUCAGGACACCAAGCAGCAGCAGCAGCUGUGCUUCGGAUGGCCAGGCCCCAGGGGUCUGCAGCGUACGAGUUCCCGUCUGCGGACUACACGGGGAGGAAGUGGAAAGGCCGGGCACCGAGUCAGAGAGCCCUGAACCAGAGCAGCAUGCCAGAAACUUCCUGCAGCGUGGCCUCACUGGGUGAGACUAGGAUGGAGAA